GGAGGUUGCACCUUCUGAAGCCACAGUCUUAGCUAUACCUUGGCCCCUUUUAGCCACAGGUGGAUCUACAGUGGCUGGGACACAGGGUGCCAUGUCCCAAGGCUGCAUAGAGCAGCAGGGGCCCUGAGCCUGGCUCAUGAAACCAUUUUUCUCUUCUAGGCCUCUGGGCGUGUGAUGGGAGGGACUGCCAUGAAGAUCUCUGAAAUGCCCUGGAGACAUUUUCCCCAUUGUCUUGAAGCAAGUCACUAAGUCCAGUCCACACCAAAGGGGAAAAGAAUUAAGUCCCACUUCCCGGAGGAGGUGUAUCAAAGAAUUUGUGGACAUCCGUUAAAACUACCAUGUUCCCUCAGGUUCUGUCUCCUUUCCAUCUGCCCUCAGCAAAUCCAACAAGAUUCUGUCUGGUACAUCAAUGUAGUGUGGGGGAAGAAAAGAUCCUGUCUGGGUAAAGGAUCAGUGAACAGUCAUUUACACCUGAAUGUGAGUUUCAAUCCUCAUUCCUUCUGCCAGACUUUGGCUCCACUCCUUGUCUCUGAUUGUGGUGGGAAGGGCUUUAUGGCAGUGGUUCUCAGCCUCAGCAGGCCCCACAUGGCAGGUUCCUGAGCCAUGCCCUGAGAUUUGGGUUCUGCAAGUUUGGGUCAAGACCUAGAAAUCUACCUUUUAAUGAGCAAUUCAUACAGUGAAUCUGAGCCAGCUGCUCUGCUCAUGGGGCCUGGAAGAAAACUGAUUUCUGGAGUUAGUGCUUUAGGAAGAGAUGGGGGACAAGGUUAGGGUGGCCAGGGGAUCCCACUGAACUUGCACCAACACCGAGGCCCCCAGUCUUCCCAGGGCAGGUCUCCUGUGGGCAUCAGAGAAAGUCAUCACUUUGUCAACAAGAGUAACAAUUGCCGCCAUUAUUAUAAAGCCUUUUAUUCUAGCCAUCCCUUCCCAAAACCUGAGAGGGGAGGUGGGACCGUUCCUAGUCCUGAAGUAUCAAGUUGAGGCCUCUGGAAGCCACGUGAUUGGUCUCAGUCCUCCUGAAUGAUUGUAGCAGAUGGGAACCCAAGUCAAUGCAUUUCCCUGUUUGUCCCGUUGUUGAUCAUGGGACCAAUGCUGUUAGUUGCUGUUUUCACAGAGACUGGGGAGCCAAGGGAGGCUGGGUGGAGGGUGGAGGAUGGAGGAGGGAAAAGAAGGUAGGAAAUAGUCACCGGGGAGGGUGAUUGAGCCAGGGAUCUAUCAUGACAUUGCCAGGAUGCCGGGACCCACUUGGGGGGCACAAACAUGAA
rnacentral:lncRNA from 1 species